rnacentral:rRNA from 1 species
GAUGAACGCUGGCGGCGUGCCUAAUACAUGCAAGUCGAGCGAACGGACGAGAAGCUUGCUUCUCUGAUGUUAGCGGCGGACGGGUGAGUAACACGUGGAUAACCUACCUAUAAGACUGGGAUAACUUCGGGAAACCGGAGCUAAUACCGGAUGAUAUUUUGAACCGCAUGGUUCAAAAGUGAAAGACGGGCUUGCUGUCACUUAUAGAUGGAUCCGCGCUGCAUUAGCUAGUUGGUAAGGUAACGGCUUACCAAGGCAACGAUGCAUAGCCGACCUGAGAGGGUGAUCGGCCACACUGGAACUGAGACACGGUCCAGACUCCUACGGGAGGCAGCAGUAGGGAAUCGUCCGCAAUGGGCGAAAGCCUGACGGAGCAACGCCGCGUGAGUGAUGAAGGUCUUCGGAUCGUAAAACUCUGUUAUUAGGGAAGAACAUAUGUGUAAGUAACUGUGCACAUCUUGACGGUACCUAAUCAGAAAGCCACGGCUAACUACGUG